UAGAUGGAUAGAUUGAGGAGGUGGUGGUGUCUAUAGAUGGAUAGAUUGAGGAGGUGGUGGUGUCCAUAGAUGGAUAGAUUGAGGAGGUGGUGGUGUCCAUAGAUGGAUAGAUUGAGGAGGUGGUGGUGUCCAUAGAUGGAUAGAUUGAGGAGGUGGUGGUGUCUGUAGAUGGAUAGAUUGAGGAGGUGGUGGUGUCUGUAGAUGGAUAGAUUGAGGAGGUGGUGGUGUCUAUAGAUGGAUAGAUUG